rnacentral:misc_RNA from 1 species
GAUGAAGAACGUAGCGAAAUGCGAUAAGUAGUGUGAAUUGCAGAAUUCAGUGAAUCAUCGAAUCUUUGAACGCACAUUGCGCCCCUUGGUAUUCCAUGGGGCAUGCCUGUUUGAGCGUCAUUUGUACCUUCAAGCUCUGCUUGGUGUUGGGUGUUUGUCUCGCCUCUGCGUGUAGACUCGCCUUAAAACAAUUGGCAGCCGGCGUAUUGAUUUCGGAGCGCAGUACAUCUCGCGCUUUGCACUCAUAACGACGACGUCCAAAAGUACAUUUUUACACUCUUGACCUCGGAUCAGGUAGGGAUACCCGCUGAACUUAAGCAUAUCAAUAAGCGGAGGA